CAGAUAUAAUAAUAAUAGUCUUGAUUUCAUCAUGCAAUUUCUGUCUGUAACAAAUCAGAGCAAAGAGAACUGUUUGUGCAGUUGGACAGAAAACAAGUGAUAACUUCAGCUGCCACUCUACACUCUUCUCCAACACUGCAAAUAAACUUUCCAAGGACAAAUCUGAACCCAUAAGUUUCUUUCUCAUAAGAUGGUUAGCAGGAGUGGUUAAUCAGCUGUUCAAGAUAGAUGGAGAAGUGUCAGAGAGACUAAAGAAACAGACAUAUUUUGGCAUCCAUGGCAAUAAAAAUGUACUUUUCUAGACACCAGAGAAGACUGAAAUAUUUACUGUAACUCAGAAAGCAAGUACCAAAUGGUUAAGUGAGACCAGAUGUUUUUGAAUAUGUCUGUGAAGAAUCAGCAUUUGCCUGUGAAUUUUGCAUGCACAACAACCUAUUUCACAAAGCCAUCUCAGCUGAAUUUCCUACAAAAUUAGCCUGUAAAACAGAUGAACUCAUAUAUCUUCUCAGGUGUGAUGUCUUCUUUGGCAGGAGGAGCAGGCUCUUCUCAACAGCAAGGCUGCUACAUUUCAAGAUUAGGCUUCUUCACCACAUAUGUCCUGCAGUAAAUUCUGGGAUCCAAGAGAAGACAGAAAAUGGUAGAAUCAAGAGGUGUUUCUUUUUAAUAUUCCACUGGAGGAAGAAACAUUGAGUGGUUCCCUUGGGAGACCAUCUCCCAGACCUACUGAUCUAUGAGGUCUAUAUCACUGAGGGCUUGAUUAAUUGCAUUUUGUAGGAUCUUUAUUUCCUUCCCAGCUCCUCCAGAAGCAGAGCUAUAUUUGGAUACAUUCCCAUUGCAGGCCCCAGUGACAUCUGUAUCAAUUAGUAGUUCUUUUUCAAGUAUUAACUCUGGCAUGAACUUUGAAAUUUUAGAAAUCUGUUGUGCCUACAGGGAAAUCAAAGACCAACCUUCUCCAACAUAAUGUCUGUUCAUCUCCUCCAUCAAAAUCCUAUUGAUUCUUGACUGCCUUUAUACAGGAAGGGGAGUAUCUGGGAGGUGACAGCAAUAUUAUGAAUAUUGUCAAGAAAAAUCUUUAUACUUUCAUUUCUCUUUUCUCCUUCCUCGAGUUGGUUAAUGGUAAGGAGUGGAUUUUGCAAGGUUUGUUCCAGGAUUUAUGGCUGAAAGGAAUUCUCCCAGAAAUGUCACUCACAGUUGUUAAUGCUUGCAUUCUCCCUUGUAUGAAAAGGUAUAAAAUUAAUAUAGGUUUUAGCCAUAUCCAAAAUGUGUUCAUCCAAUAUUUAAGUUUUCAAAGUGAUUAUAAUGUUGGAUGGGGUUGUUCUUUGGCUUUUGGCUCCAGAAACAUGAAAUACUGCCAUAUAGUUUGAGAAAGAAAAUCAGAUGUUCUUAUAUAUAUACCUCAGGCCAAUGUCUGUCUUUGAAUAAUAUAUCAAGGCUUUCAGAAUAAAAUCUCUUAAUAAUUUAAUCAUCAGCUCAGAAUCUUUUAUUGUGGAUAUCUGCCAAAAAAAGAUAAGAGCAAGAUGGAAGUUCAGAUACACCUUUCGACACACUGAUAUUAAAGCCACCUAAAUGGAUGUAAAGCGCAGAUUCCUAUUGCAGUUCUGGUCUGGUGGCAUUUUAACACACAGGAGUCUGCUUAUCAGAAAGAAAAACAAACAAACAAACAAACAAAUAAACAAAA